rnacentral:rRNA from 1 species
UACGAAGGGGGCUAGCGUUGUUCGGAUUUACUUGGCGUAAAGCGCACGUAGGCGGAUCGAUCAGUCAGGGGUGAAAUCCCAGGGCUCAACCCUGGAACUGCCUUUGAUACUGUCGAUCUGGAGUAUGGAAGAGGUGAGUGGAAUUCCGAGUGUAGAGGUGAAAUUCGUAGAUAUUCGGAGGAACACCAGUGGCGAAGGCGGCUCACUGGUCCAUUACUGACGCUGAGGUGCGAAAGCGUGGGGAGCAAACAGG